rnacentral:rRNA from 1 species
GUGGGGAAUCUUCCGCAAUGGACGAAAGUCUGACGGAGCAACGCCGCGUGAGUGAUGAAGGUCUUCGGAUUGUAAAGCUCUGUUAAUCGGGACGAAAGAGCCUAGUGUGAAUAAUGCUAGGAAGUGACGGUACCGGAAUAGAAAGCCACGGCUAACUACGUGCCAGCAGCCGCGGUAAUACGUAGGUGGCAAGCGUUGUCCGGAAUUAUUGGGCGUAACGCGCGCGCAGGCGGAUCUGCCAGUCUGUCUUAAAAGUUCGGAGCUUAACCCCGUGAUGGGAUAGAAACUACAGAGCUAGAGUAUCGGAGAGGAAAGUGGAAUUCCUAGUGUAGCGGUGAAAUGCGUAGAUAUUAGGAAGAACACCAGUGGCGAAGGCGACUUUCUGGACGAAAACUGACGCUGAGGCGCGAAAGCCAGGGGAGCGAACGGGAUUAGAUACCCUAGUAGUCC